AACGAACGCUGGCGGCAGGCUUAACACAUGCAAGUCGAGCGCCCCGCAAGGGGAGCGGCAGACGGGUGAGUACGCGUGGGAAUCUCCCCAUCUCUACGGAAUAACGCAUGGAAACGUGUGCUAAUACCGCAUACGUCCUUCGGGAGAACGAUUUAUCGGAGAUGGAUGGGCCCGCGUUGGAUUAGCUAUUUGGUGGGGUAAAGGCCUACCAAGGCGACGAUCCAUAGCUGGUCUGAGAGGAUGAUCAGCCACACUGGGACUGGGACACGGCCCAGGCUCCUACGUGGGGCAGCAGUGGGGAAUAUUGGACAACGGGCGCAAGCCUGAUCCAGCCAUGCCGCGUGAGUGAUGAAGGCCCUAGGGUUGUAAAGCUCUUUCACCGGUGAAGAUAAUGACGGUAACCGGAGAAGAAGCCCCGGCUAACUUCGUGUCAGCAGCCGCGGUAAAAC
rnacentral:rRNA from 1 species